rnacentral:rRNA from 1 species
UACGGGGGGGGCAAGCGUUGUUCGGAAUUACUGGGCGUAAAGGGCGCGUAGGCGGCCUACUAAGUCGGACGUGAAAUCCCUCGGCUCAACCGGGGAACUGCGUCCGAUACUGGUGGGCUCGAAUCCGGGAGAGGGAUGUGGAAUUCCAGGUGUAGCGGUGAAAUGCGUAGAUAUCAGGAGGAACACCGAUGGCGAAGGCGGCAUCCUGGACCGGUAUUGACGCUGAGGCGCGAAAGCCAGGGGAGCAAACGGG